GUCUGGUGCCAGCAGCCGCGGUAAUUCCAGCUCCAAUAGCGUAUAUUAAACUUGUUGCAGUUAAAAAGCUCGUAGUUGAAUUUUUGCGUCACCGUGUAUCGACAUUUGUCGUUUAUCGGUUUCGCUUUUGGGAUUUAUCCCUUUUUACUUUGAGAAAAUUAGAGUGUUUCAAGCAGACUUUUGUCUUGAAUACUUCAGCAUGGAAUAAUAGAGUAGGACUUUGGUUCUAUUUUGUUGGUUUGUGAACCUUAGUAAUGGUUAAUAGGAACGGUUGGGGGCAUUCGUAUUUAACUGUCAGAGGUGAAAUUCUUAGAUUUGUUAAAGACGAACUACUGCGAAAGCAUUUGCCAAGGACGUUUUCAUUAAUCAAGAACGAAAGUUAGGGGAUCGAAGACGAUCAGAUACCGUCGUAGUCCUA
rnacentral:rRNA from 1 species